rnacentral:rRNA from 1 species
GACGAACGCUGGCGGCGUGCUUAACACAUGCAAGUCGAACGGAAAGGCCCUGCUUUUGUGGGGUGCUCGAGUGGCGAACGGGUGAGUAACACGUGAGUAACCUGCCCUUGACUUUGGGAUAACUUCAGGAAACUGGUGCUAAUACCGGAUAGGAGCUCCUGCUGCAUGGUGGGGGUUGGACAGCUUCGGCGGUUGGGGAUGGACUCGCGGCUUAUCAGCUUGUUGGUGGGGUAGUGGCUUACCAAGGCUUUGACGGGUAGCCGGCCUGAGAGGGUGACCGGCCACAUUGGGCCUGAGAGACGGCCCAGACUCCUACGGGAGGCAGCAGUGGGGAGUAUUGCACAGUGGGCGGAAGCCUGAUGCAGCAACGCCGCGUGCGGGAUGACGGCCUUCGGGUUGUAAACCGCAUUCGCCUGUGACGAAGCGUGAGUGACGGUAAUGGGUAAAGAAGCACCGGCUAACUACGUG